rnacentral:rRNA from 1 species
AUUGAACGCUGGCGGCAUGCCUUACACAUGCAAGUCGAACGGCAGCACGGGUGCUUGCACCUGGUGGCGAGUGGCGAACGGGUGAGUAAUACAUCGGAACAUGUCCUGUAGUGGGGGAUAGCCCGGCGAAAGCCGGAUUAAUACCGCAUACGAUCUACGGCUGAAAGCGGGGGCCCUUCGGGCCUCGCGCUUUCGGGUUGGCCGAUGGCUGAUUAGCUAGUUGGUGGGGUAAAGGCCUACCAAGGCGACGAUCAGUAGCUGGUCUGAGAGGACGACCAGCCACACUGGGACUGAGACACGGCCCAGACUCCUACGGGAGGCAGCAGUGGGGAAUUUUGGACAAUGGGCGAAAGCCUGAUCCAGCAAUGCCGCGUGUGUGAAGAAGGCCUUCGGGUUGUAAAGCACUUUUGUCCGGAAAGAAAUCCUUGGCCCUAAUACGGUCGGGGGAUGACGGUACCGGAAGAAUAAGCACCGGCUAACUACGUG